GUCGAGCGAACAGAUAAGGAGCUUGCUCCUUUGACGUUAGCGGCGGACGGGUGAGUAACACGUGGGUAACCUACCUAUAAGACUGGGAUAACUUCGGGAAACCGGAGCUAAUACCGGAUAACAUUUGGAACCGCAUGGUUCUAAAGUGAAAGAUGGUUUUGCUAUCACUUAUAGAUGGACCCGCGCCGUAUUAGCUAGUUGGUAAGGUAACGGCUUACCAAGGCGACGAUACGUAGCCGACCUGAGAGGGUGAUCGGCCACACUGGAACUGAGACACGGUCCAGACUCCUACGGGAGGCAGCAGUAGGGAAUCUUCCGCAAUGGGCGAAAGCCUGACGGAGCAACGCCGCGUGAGUGAUGAAGGGUUUCGGCUCGUAAAACUCUGUUAUUAGGGAAGAACAAACGUGUAAGUAACUGUGCACGUCUUGACGGUACCUAAUCAGAAAGCCACGGCUAACUACGUGCCAGCAGCCGCGGUAAUACGUAGGUGGCAAGCGUUAUCCGGAAUUAUUGGGCGUAAAGCGCGCGUAGGCGGUUUCUUAAGUCUGAUGUGAAAGCCCACGGCUCAACCGUGGAGGGUCAUUGGAAACUGGGAAACUUGAGUGCAGAAGAGGAAAGUGGAAUUCCAUGUGUAGCGGUGAAAUGCGCAGAGAUAUGGAGGAACACCAGUGGCGAAGGCGACUUUCUGGUCUGUAACUGACGCUGAUGUGCGAAAGCGUGGGG
rnacentral:rRNA from 1 species